rnacentral:rRNA from 1 species
UACGAAGGGGGCUAGCGUUGCUCGGAAUCACUGGGCGUAAAGCGCACGUAGGCGGUUUGCUAAGUCAGGGGUGAAAUCCUGGAGCUCAACUCCAGAACUGCCUUUGAUACUGGCGACCUUGAGUCCGGGAGAGGUGAGUGGAACUGCGAGUGUAGAGGUGAAAUUCGUAGAUAUUCGCAAGAACACCAGUGGCGAAGGCGGCUCACUGGCCCGGUACUGACGCUGAGGUGCGAAAACGUGGGGAGCAAACAGG